rnacentral:rRNA from 1 species
CCCUUAGAGUUUGAUCAUGGCUCAGAUUGAACGCUGGCGGCAGGCCUAACACAUGCAAGUCGAGCGGAAACGAUCCUAGCUUGCUAGGAGGCGUCGAGCGGCGGACGGGUGAGUAACGCGUGAGAAUCUACCCAUGAGUGGGGGACAACCCGGGGAAACUCGGGCUAAUACCGCAUACGCCCUACGGGGUAAAGCAGGGGACCUUCGGGCCUUGCGCUGAUGGAUGAGCUCGCGUCGGAUUAGCUUGUUGGUGAGGUAAAGGCUCACCAAGGCGACGAUCCGUAGCUGGUCUGAGAGGAUGAUCAGCCACACCGGGACUGAGACACGGCCCGGACUCCUACGGGAGGCAGCAGUGGGGAAUCUUGGACAAUGGGGGCAACCCUGAUCCAGCCAUGCCGCGUGUGUGAAGAAGGCCUUCGGGUUGUAAAGCACUUUCAGCAGGGAGGAAGGCUUACCCCUAAUACGGGUGAGUACUUGACGUUACCUGCAGAAGAAGCACCGGCUAAUUUCGUGCCAGCAGCCGCGGUAAUACGAAAGGUGCAAGCGUUAAUCGGAAUUACUGGGCGUAAAGCGCGCGUAGGCGGUGUGUUAAGUCGGAUGUGAAAGCCCAGGGCUCAACCUUGGAAUUGCAUCCGAUACUGGCACGCUAGAGUGCAGUAGAGGGAGGUGGAAUUUCCGGUGUAGCGGUGAAAUGCGUAGAGAUCGGAAGGAACACCAGUGGCGAAGGCGGCCUCCUGGACUGA